AAUCCUGAGUGCUUAUGUAUAACAUGGGCUUUUGCCAAGGGUAAAUACCUUGGAGAAUAAGUGGUGGGCAAGACUGGUGCCAGCAGCCGCGGUAACACCAGCGCCACAAGUGGGGACCUCUAUUAUUGGGCCUAAAGCGUUCGUAGCUGGAUUAGUAAAUCUUUUGUGAAAUCGUCAAGCUCAACUUGACGGCAUGCAGAAGACACUGCUUUUCUUGAGACCGGGAGGGGUUAGGAGUAUUUCUAGGGAACUGGUAAAAUGGGAUAAUCCUAGAGAGACUACCUGUGGCGAAGGCGCCUAACCAGAACGGGUCUGACAGUGAGGGACGAAGGCUAGGGGAGCGAGCCGGAUUAGAUACCCGAGUAGUCCUAGCAGUAAACGCUGCGAGCAAGGUGUUGCAUAUUCUAUGUGAAUGUGCAGUGUCGUAAUGAAGAUGUUAAGCUCGCCGCCUGGGAAGUAUGGUC
rnacentral:rRNA from 1 species